UGGGGAAUAUUGCACAAUGGGCGCAAGCCUGAUGCAGCCAUGCCGCGUGUGUGAAGAAGGCCUUCGGGUUGUAAAGUACUUUCAGCGGGGAGGAAGGGAGUAAAGUUAAUACCUUUGCUCAUUGACGUUACCCGCAGAAGAAGCACCGGCUAACUCCGUGCCAGCAGCCGCGGUAAUACGGAGGGUGCAAGCGUUAAUCGGAAUUACUGGCGUAAAGCGCACGCAGGCGGUUUGUUAAGUCAGAUGUGAAAUCCCCGGGCUCAACCUGGGAACUGCAUCUGAUACUGGCAAGCUUGAGUCUCGUAGAGGGGGGUAGAAUUCCAGGUGUAGCGGUGAAAUGCGUAGAGAUCUGGAGGAAUACCGGUGGCGAAGGCGGCCCCCUGGACGAAGACUGACGCUCAGGUGCGAAAGCGUGGGGAGCAAACAGG
rnacentral:rRNA from 1 species